rnacentral:rRNA from 1 species
AUUGAACGCUGGCGGCAGGCCUAACACAUGCAAGUCGAACGAGUGGCGGACGGGUGAGUAAUGUCUGGGAAACUGCCUGAUGGAGGGGGAUAACUACUGGAAACGGUAGCUAAUACCGCAUACCAUCGGAUGUUCCCCGAUGGGAUUAGCUAGUAGGUGGGGUAAAGGCUCACCUAGGCGACGAUCCCUAGCUGGUCUGAGAGGAUGACCAGCCACACUGGAACUGAGACACGGUCCAGACUCCUACGGGAGGCAGAAGUGGGGAAUAUUGCAAAAUGGGCGAAAGCCGGAUGCAGCAAUGCCGCGGGGAUGAAGAAGGCCUUCGGGUUGUAAAGUACUUUCAGCGAGGAGGCGUUACUCGCAGAAGAAGCACCGGCUAACUCCGUGCCAGCAGCCGCGGUAAUAC